GAAAAAAUAGUUUAACUGGUAGAGCUCCUGACAUGUUAUCAGGGAGAUCCAGGUUCGAUUCCUGGAUUGGUAACCU
rnacentral:tRNA from 1 species